GGGGUUAAAAUUAAUAAUUAAUUAAAUAUCUAAUAAAAAAAUUUUUAAUAAAAUAUAUUUUAAUGGGGGUUAAAGUAUUAAUAAAAAAAAAAUUUUUAAUUUUAUAGUGAAUUAGUAUUGUAAAAGAAUUUUGAAAUAUUUGAAAAUAAAUUUGUAUAAAAGUAAUUUUAAUUUAGUGUAUCUUGUGUAUCAGAGUUUAUUAAUAAAAUUAUUUAAGAAAAUAUUUCUCGAAUUUAAAAGAGUUAAUUAAUUAAAAAAGUUGUUGUAUCAUAAAUAUUUUAAAUAAUUAAUUAGAAGUGAAAUGUUAUUCGUUUUUAAAUAUAUCUAGUUUUUUUAGAAAAAAAUUUAAUUUUAAAUUUUUUAAAAAAAAAAAUUAAUUAAUUAAUUUUUUUUUUAUAAAAUUUUAUAUUUUAGGGGAUAAGCUUUAAAUUAAAUUUUUAUAUUUAAAUCAUUUUAUUUUAAAAUUUUUAUAAUUUAAAUUGUUAAUAAAUUAUAUUUUAUUAUAAAUAAUUUUAAUAAAUUUAAAAUUUAAUUUAAUUUAACUUUUUAUAAAAAAUUAUUAUUUAAUUGAGUUAAUUAUAAUUAUAAUGAUAAAAUUAGUAUAAAAUAAGUAAAAUAUAUUUUAUAUAUUGAAAAUUAAUUAAAAGGAAUUCGGCAAAAAUUUAUAUUCACUUGUUUAUCAAAAACAUGUCUUUUUGAAAAUAAUAUAAAGUCUAAUCUGCCCACUGAUUAUUAAUUAAAGGGCUGCAGUAUAUUGACUGUACAAAGGUAGCAUAAUCAUUAGUCUCUUAAUUGGUGACUUGUAUGAAGGAUUGAAUGAAAUAUAAACUGUCUCUUAAUUAUAAUUUUAGAAUUUAAUUUUUUAAUUAAAAAGUUAAGAUAAUUUAAAAAGACGAGAAGACCCUAUAGAGUUUUAUAUUUAAUUAUAAUUUUAAUAUUAUAUGUGAAAUUUUAAUUUUAUAUUUUAAUUAAAUAUUUUAUUGGGGUGAUAAAAAAAUUAAAUUAACUUUUUUUUAAUAAGAACAUAAAUAAAUGGUUAAAUGAUCCAAUUUUAUUGAUUAUGAGAAAAAAUUACCUUAGGGAUAACAGCGUAAUUUUUUUUUUUAGUUCAUAUAGGAAAAAAAGUUUGCGACCUCGAUGUUGGAUUAAGAUAAAAUUUGGAUGCAAAAGUUCAAAAUUUUGAUCUGUUCGAUCAUUAAAAUCUUACAUGAUCUGAGUUCAAACCGGUGUGAGCCAGGUUGGUUUCUAUCUUUUAAAAUAAUAAUAAUAUUUUAGUACGAAAGGAUUAAAUAUUAAAAUUAAAUUUAUAAAAUUUGAAUUUUAUUAAAAUUUAUGUAAAAAUUAAAAAUAUAUUAUUAUUUUAUAUUGAUAAAUAAUUAAUAUUAGUGAUAUAUUUAUUAAUAUUUAUAAAUAAUUUAAUAUUAGUUAAA
rnacentral:rRNA from 1 species